UACAGAGGUCUCAAGCGUUUGUUCGGAUUCAUUGGGCGUAAAGGGCGCGUAGGCUGCGGGGCAAGUCGGGUGUGAAAUCUCAGAGCUCAACUCUGAAACUGCACUCGAUACUGCUUUGCUCGAGGACUGGAGAGGAGAUUGGAAUUCACGGUGUAGCAGUGAAAUGCGUAGAUAUCGUGAGGAAGACCAGUGGCGAAGGCGGAUCCUCUGGA
rnacentral:rRNA from 1 species